GACGAACGCUGGCGGCGUGCCUAAUACAUGCAAGUCGAACGCAGUGGGGGCGGGUGAGUAACACGUGGGUAACCUCCCAUCAGAGGGGAUAACCCUUGGAAACAGGUGCUAAACCGAUACUGAUGGAUGGACCCGCGGGGCAUUAGCUAGUUGGUGGGGUAACGGCUCACCAAGGCCACGAUGCAUAGCCGACCUGAGAGGGUGAGCGGCCACACUGGGACUGAGACACGGCCCAGAAUCCUACGGGAGGCAGCAGUAGGGAAUCUUGCGCAAUGGACGAAAGUCUGACCGAGCAACGCCGCGUGAGUGAAGAAGGUUUUCGGAUUGUAAAACUCUGUCGUCAGAGAAGCGGUAUCUAACCAGAAAGCCACGGCUAACUACGUGCCAGCAGCCGCGGUAAUUC
rnacentral:rRNA from 1 species